UACGUAGGGGGCAAGCGUUGUCCGGAUUUAUUGGGCGUAAAGAGCGUGUAGGCGGCUAGGUAGGUCCGUUGUGAAAACUCGAGGCUCAACCUCGAGACGUCGAUGGAAACCAUCUAGCUAGAGUCCGGAAGAGGAGAGUGGAAUUCCUGGUGUAGCGGUGAAAUGCGCAGAUAUCAGGAGAACACCCAUGGCGAAGGCAGCACUCUGGACGUGACUGACGCUGAGACGCGAAAGCGUGGGGAGCGAAACAGG
rnacentral:rRNA from 1 species